rnacentral:rRNA from 1 species
UUCAACUUGAGAGUUUGAUCCUGGCUCAGAACGAACGCUGGCGGCAGGCCUAACACAUGCAAGUCGAGCGCCUCGCAAGAGGAGCGGCGGACGGGUGAGUAACGCGUGGGAACGUACCCUUUGCUACGGAAUAGCCUCGGGAAACUGGGAGUAAUACCGUAUGUGCCCCCCCAAUCAAAUUUCAUUUGAUUGAAUAAUCAGACUUAUCAAAUUCCAGUGGAAUUUGAUGGGGGGGGAAAGAUUUAUCGGCAAGGGAUCGGCCCGCGUUGGAUUAGGUAGUUGGUGGGGUAAUGGCCUACCAAGCCGACGAUCCAUAGCUGGUUUGAGAGGAUGAUCAGCCACACUGGGACUG